rnacentral:ncRNA from 1 species
CCAAAUUAUCGCCUAAGUGGGAAACGAAGUGGGAAGGCAUAGACAGUCAGGAGGUUGGCUUAGAAGCAGCCACCCCUUUAAAGAAAGCGUAAUAGCUCACUGAUCGAGUCGUCCUGCGCGGAAGAUGUAACGGGGCUAAGCGAUAAACCGAAGCUGCGGGUGUGUACCUUUGGUACACGCGGUAGGAGAGCGUUCUGUAAGCCUGCGAAGGUGGCUUGUAAAGGCUGCUGGAGGUAUCAGAAGUGCGAAUGCUGACAUGAGUAGCGAUAAAGGGGGGUGAAAAGCCUCCUCGCCGUAAGUCCAAGGUUUCCUGCGCAACGUUCAUCGGCGCAGGGUGAGUCGGCCCCUAAGGCGAGGCAGAGAUGCGUAGCUGAUGGGAAGCUGGUUAAUAUUCCAGCACCGUCGUACAGUGCGAUGGGGGGACGGAUCGCGGAAGAUCAUCAGGGUGUUGGAUGUCCCUGUUGCUGCAUUGAAGAGGGUACUUAGGCAAAUCCGGGUACAUGACUCAAGGGUGUGGCGCGAGCGAAUUUAUUCGCGAAGUGAUUGGAAGUGGUUCCAGGAAAAGCCUCUAAGCUUCAGCUGUACGAGACCGUACCGCAAACCGACACAGGUGGACGGGAUGAAUAUUCCAAGGCGCUUGAGAGAACUCGGGAGAAGGAACUCGGCAAAUUGAUACCGUAACUUCGGGAGAAGGUAUGCCCUGUUAGGGUGAGUUGCCUGCGCAACGAGCCUGAGAGGGUCGCAGAGAAUCGGUGGCUGCGACUGUUUAUUAAAAACACAGCACUCUGCUAAGACGAAAGUCGACGUAUAGGGUGUGACGCCUGCCCGGUGCCGGAAGGUUAAGUGAUGGGGUGCAAGCUCUUGAUCGAAGCCCCGGUAAACGGCGGCCGUAACUAUAACGGUCCUAAGGUAGCGAAAUUCCUUGUCGGGUAAGUUCCGACCUGCACGAAUGGCGUAACGAUGGCCACACUGUCUCCUCCCGAGACUCAGCGAAGUUGAAGUGUUUGUGAUGAUGCAAUCUACCCGCGGCUAGACGGAAAGACCCCAUGAACCUUUACUGUAGCUUUGCAUUGGAUUGUGAACCGGCCUGUGUAGGAUAGGUGGGAGGCGCAGAAACUCAGUCGCCAGAUUGAGUGGAGCCAACCUUGAAAUACCACCCUGGUUUGUUUGCGGUUCUAACCUUGGUCCGUUAUCCGGAUCGGGGACAGUGCAUGGUGGGCAGUUUGACUGGGGCGGUCUCCUCCCAAAGCGUAACGGAGGAGUUCGAAGGUACGCUAGGUACGGUCGGAAAUCGUGCUGAUAGUGCAAUGGCAUAAGCGUGCUUGACUGUGAGACUGACAAGUCGAACAGGUGCGAAAGCAGGACAUAGUGAUCCGGUGGUUCUGAAUGGAAGGGCCAUCGCUCAACGGAUAAAAGGUACUCUGGGGAUAACAGGCUGAUACCGCCCAAGAGUUCAUAUCGACGGCGGUGUUUGGCACCUCGAUGUCGGCUCAUCUCAUCCUGGGGCUGUAGCCGGUCCCAAGGGUAUGGCUGUUCGCCAUUUAAAGAGGUACGUGAGCUGGGUUUAAAACGUCGUGAGACAGUUUGGUCCCUAUCUGCCGUGGGCGUUGGAUACUUGACGGAGCCUGUUCCUAGUACGAGAGGACCGGAAUGGACGUACCGCUGGUGUACCGGUUGUCAUGCCAAUGGCAUUGCCGGGUAGCUAAGUACGGAAGAGAUAACCGCUGAAGGCAUCUAAGCGGGAAACUCGUCUGAAGAUUAGGUAUCCCUGAGAGCUUGACUCUCCUGUAGGGUCGUUCAAGACCAGGACGUUGAUAGGUCAGGUGUGCAAGUGCAGUAAUGCAUUGAGCUAACUGAUACUAAUUGCCCGUGAGGCUUGAUCCU